UGGGGAACCUGCCCCAUAGUCUGGGAUACCACUUGGAAACAGGUGCUAAUACCGGAUAAUAAAGCGGAUCGCAUGAUCAGCUUUUAAAAGGCGGCGUAAGCUGUCGCUAUGGGAUGGCCCCGCGGUGCAUUAGCUAGUUGGUAAGGUAAAGGCUUACCAAGGCGAUGAUGCAUAGCCGAGUUGAGAGACUGAUCGGCCACAUUGGGACUGAGACACGGCCCAAACUCCUACGGGAGGCAGCAGCU
rnacentral:rRNA from 1 species